GGAGGGGUCGCAUAGUCCGGCCUAGUGCACCGGUUUCGAAAACCGGCGAGCGUCGCGAGACGUUCCGUGAGUUCAAAUCUCACCCUCUCCG
rnacentral:tRNA from 1 species